UAUCCUCAUAAGUUUGACAAUAAGAGAAACCAUAUAAAAUUUAAUAAUAAUUUAAAUAAUAAUAUGGUAUAAUAAAAUCGGAGGCCACGACUGUUUACUAAAAACACAAUUCAGAGCAAUGAUUAAGAUAAUAGUAUUCUGAAUGAAAUUUGCUCAAUGCCAUUAAUAUAAGAGAGGUAAUUUUAAAGUUACUAAUCGAAAAUCUGGUUAAUAGCGGUCUUAACUAUGAGGAUCCUAAGGUAGCAAAAUAAAUUGGCCAUUAAAUGUGGUCUUGUAUCAAUAAUGUAACGAUGGUCUCACUGUCUCUACAACUUGCUCAGUGAAAUUGAAUUGCGAGUGCAGAUGCUCGCU
rnacentral:rRNA from 1 species